CAAGGAAGCGGUUACGAGCACGGAUGCACAAGGUAGUACGAAACACGAGGAUCAUCAAGGGAUAGAGAUCAAGGACCGAGUCACAUGAAGGAUUGUACGGGGUGU